UCCCACUACAGCGUACCCAGAAGUGACAUAAUUCAAGACAGAACUGAAUAGAAGUAGUCUUUACAUGUGUGAAUGCAGUCAAAUUGCCACGUAUGGGACUCCAGCCACAGGACUGCCAUUUUUGGAAUGAAGUCUCUUGUCUGAAAGAGGUGCUGGAAAAGGCUGCCCAGGGAAGUGUUUGAGUCACCAUCCUCGGAGGUGUCCAAGAAACGUUUAGAAGUGGUACUAAUGGACAUGCGACCUUUGCGAACGCCGGAGAAACAAGGAUUGAUAGAGUACAAGAAUUCCUAUGAAAAAACCUAAUGGAUCUUCUGAAACCAUGUGUACCUGCAGGCCCCCCCAAACUCCACUUUUAUUUCACAUCUUGAAAACAAAUACUAACCUAACGUUUAUCACAAAAUGGAAGAACAGCAAAUAAGAAGGGACAAGGGCUACAAGAUCUAAAGAGAAAUGAAAAAACACAGUAUUAACCAAAAGAA